CAUCCCCGGCAGCGCGACUCCCAGCCCCUACGCGCAACGAACUCGACGCUCCAGAUCCCACCAACACCGCCGGCCUUCACACACCACCCGGCCGCCUCCCUCACGCACCGGUCCGGGCUGCUGCCGCCUCUGCCCCGGCCAGCUCCCUGACGUCCCUCCCUACCCCACCCAUAUCCCAACCCUGGCCGACUCCCCGCGUCCCCCCUGGCCGCGUCGCCUAUGCCAUCCAUCGCCUUCCUCGAAGAGCUACGCAUAGCUGCCUAGCCGGCCGGCCAGCUAGCCUCGUCCUCCUCUUCCCAUGCCAUCGUCGUACUCCGGUCGAACGAGCCUGCUCGAUCCAUCGCCGCGCCACAUACGGUAGCUACUGAUGGACGCCGCGCAAGCGCCCGCGGGAGUGGUGGUCAACAUCGAGUCGCUCGCUGGACGGAGAGGGAGCAAUGCUCCCGCUGCGCCCAAGGACCAAGCAUGGAAAAAGUUUUUGUGCCACGUUGGACCAGGAUUUAUGGUUUCCCUAGCCUUCCUUGAUCCCGGGAACUCUGCUGCUGAUGAAGGCUUCUCUUUUUAAUUGUGGCACUGCAUCUGCAAAUGGAGUAUGCUUAGACACUUGAAGGACAACAUGAUGACGAAGAUAUGGCCAUCCAGGAGCUGGAAAAGUCCUGCAUCACCACCAGCAAAUGGACAGGAAGGGAAGUGGCUUCCAAAUCAUUAGCUGCAACAGCUUAAAGCCUGAGUCUGUUGAAUUGCCCACCUUUGGCCCAAAGAAUUCUAUGCAGGAAUGCAAGAAGAGAUACCACGAAGCAGGAGUCACAUUUAUUCUACCAUAUUCAAAAUUGUCAGUUUCUCUAUUCUCCAAUUCUCAUUAUUGAGUAGAUGAGAUUAACAGUAGCAAUGUCAAUGAAAUAUCAGGAUAGUUAAAUAGAUUAUGUCUCAGCAUUUAUGAAAAUAGUCUGAUCGCAUCACUGUAAUAUGUGCGCUCCAUCAACAAGACUGAUUUAGUGUCAAGCUGUUGUGGCGUAGAAAUCUCAUGUCCUACUGGCAUAAGCAUAGCUCAACAGGAACUCAAGGGGGUUAAGAAGUAGCUGAUGCAAAAACAGAAAGAAAAAUGCGCUCAACGCUAUCAAGAAAGAAAGAAAGAAAGAAAAGUACUUAUCUUUGCCGAGGCACCUUUUUUCCUUCUCUAAGACAUAUACUCAGUGUAAUACUUAUUUAUAUAUGACUAUUUGGUUUACAUGA